rnacentral:rRNA from 1 species
UGGGGAAUAUUGCACAAUGGAGGGAACUCUGAUGCAGCGACGCCGCGUGAACGAAGAAGGCUUUCGAGUCGUAAAGUUCUUUUAUAUGGGAAGAUAAUGACGGUACCAUAAGAAAAAGCCCCGGCUAACUACGUGCCAGCAGCCGCGGUAAUACGUAGGGGGCUAGCGUUGUCCGGAAUCACUGGGCGUAAAGGGUUCGCAGGCGGAAAUGCAAGUCAGGUGUAAAAGGCAGUAGCUUAACUACUGUAAGCAUUUGAAACUGCAUAUCUUGAGAAGAGUAGAGGUAAGUGGAAUUUUUAGAGUAACGGUGAAAUGCGUAGAUAUUAAAAAUAAUACCGGUGGCGAAGGCGACUUACUGGGCUCAUUCUGACGCUGAGGAACGAAAGCGUGGGUAGCAAACAGG